rnacentral:rRNA from 1 species
GAUCCAACCUGCCGAUAACUCGGGGAUAGCCUUUCGAAAGAAAGAUUAAUACCCGAUAGUAUAGUAUUUCCGCAUGGUUUCAUUAUUAAAGAAUUUCGGUUAUCGAUGGGGAUGCGUUCCAUUAGAUAGUUGGCGGGGUAACGGCCCACCAAGUCAACGAUGGAUAGGGGUUCUGAGAGGAAGGUCCCCCACAUUGGAACUGAGACACGGUCCAAACUCCUACGGGAGGCAGCAGUGAGGAAUAUUGGUCAAUGGACGAGAGUCUGAACCAGCCAAGUAGCGUGAAGGAUGACUGCCCUAUGGGUUGUAAACUUCUUUUAUACGGGAAUAAAGUGGAGUAUGCAUACUCCUUUGUAUGUACCGUAUGAAUAAGGAUCGGCUAACUCCGUGCCAGCAGCCGCGGUAAUACGGAGGAUCCGAGCGUUAUCCGGAUUUAUUGGGUUUAAAGGGAGCGUAGGCGGGUGCUUAAGUCAGUUGUGAAAGUUUGCGGCUCAACCGUAAAAUUGCAGUUGAUACUGGGCGCCUUGAGUGCAGCAUAGGUAGGCGGAAUUCGUGGUGUAGCGGUGAAAUGCUUAGAUAUCACGAAGAACUCCGAUUGCGAAGGCAGCUUACUGGACUGUAACUGACGCUGAUGCUCGAAAGUGUGGGUAUCAAACAGGAUUAGAUACCCUGGUAGUCCACACAGUAAACGAUGAAUACUCGCUGUUGGCGAUACACAGUCAGCGGCCAAGCGAAAGCAUUAAGUAUUCCACCUGGGGAGUAC